rnacentral:rRNA from 1 species
AGCAGUCGCCGCGGGAAUACGAAGGGUGCAAGCGUUAAUCGGAAUUACUGGGCGUAAAGCGUGCGUAGGCGGUUUGUUAAGUCUGUUGUGAAAUCCCCGGGCUCAACCUGGGAAUGGCAAUGGAUACUGGCAAGCUAGAGUGUGUCAGAGGAUGGUGGAAUUCCCGGUGUAGCGGUGAAAUGCGUAGAGAUCGGGAGGAACAUCAGUGGCGAAGGCGGCCAUCUGGGACAACACUGACGCUGAGGCACGAAAGCGUGGGGAGCAAACAGGAUUAGAUACCCCAGUAGUCCCUGUCUCUUAUAC